GCAUAUCAAUAAGCGGAGGAAAAGAAACCAACAGGGAUUGCCCUAGUAACGGCGAGUGAAGCGGCAACAGCUCAAAUUUGAAAUCUGGCGCAAGCCCGAGUUGUAAUUUGUAGAGGAUGUUUCUGGCGACGCGCCUUCCGAGUUCCCUGGAACGGGACGCCAUAGAGGGUGAGAGCCCCGUACGGUUGGAUGCCUAGCCUCUGUGAAACUCCUUCGACGAGUCGAGUAGUUUGGGAAUGCUGCUCUAAAUGGGAGGUAUACGUCUUCUAAAGCUAAAUACCGGCCAGAGACCGAUAGCGCACAAGUAGAGUGAUCGAAAGAUGAAAAGCACUUUGAAAAGAGGGUUAAAAAGUACGUGAAAUUGUUGAAAGGGAAGCGUUCAUGACCAGACUUGGGCAGGUUGAUCAUCCGUGGUUCUCCGCGGUGCACUCUGCCUGCCCAGGCCAGCAUCAGUUCGCUCCGGGGGAUAAAGGCUCUGGGAAUGUGGCUCCUUCGGGAGUGUUAUAGCCCACUGCGUAAUACCCUGGGGUGGACUGAGGUUCGCGCUCUGCAAGGAUGCUGGCGUAAUGGUCAUCAACGACCCGUCUUGAAACACGGACCAAGGAGUCGUCUUCGUAUGCGAGUGUUCGGGUGUCAAACCCCUACGCGUAAUGAAAGUGAACGUAGGAGAGAGCUUCGGCGCAUCUCCGACCGAUCCUGAUGUUCUCGGAUGGAUUUGAGUAAGAGCAUACGGGGCCGGACCCGAAAGAAGGUGAACUAUGCCUGUAUAGGGUGAAGCCAGAGGAAACUCUGGUGGAGGCUCGCAGCGGUUCUGACGUGCAAAUCGAUCGUCAAAUAUGGGCAUGGGGGGCGAAAGACUAAUCGAACCUUCUAGUAGCUGGUUUCCGCGA
rnacentral:rRNA from 1 species